UUGGAGCAGUUGGAAGCUGGUUCUGUUUGUGGAGCGCCGCAACUUUUGGGAGCGGUGUCCUGUUGAAAAGCACUGGCAGCCUCCAGGCACAUAAAUGCACGUACAUAUGUUUUAAGGAGAGGACGCUUUACAGAGGUCUCAGCUUAGGCUCGACCUACAGGUUUCAAACCCCCAAGAAACACCUGCGGCUCCCUGCAGCGGACGUGUUGCAGUGGUGGGACUGAAAAAACGUACAAGGAAGGCCUUUGGUAUACGCAAGAAAGAAAAGGAUACUGAUUCCACAGGGUCGCCGGACAGGGACGGACUCAUAGCCCCGGGUAGCGGGAGGAUCGUGUCUCCUUUAGCCGUUUGA
rnacentral:lncRNA from 1 species